AGAAGUGAGAAAAAAAAAAAAGAAAAGAAAAAAUGGCAG
rnacentral:ribozyme from 1 species